AACCUCCGCAAUGUGAGAAAUCGCGACGGGGGGAUCCCAAGUGCCAUUCUUAACGGGAUGGCUUUUCAUUAGUGUAAAGAGCUUCUGGAAUAAGAGCUGGGCAAGACCGGUGCCAGCCGCCGCGGUAACACCGGCAGCUCUAGUGGUAACAAUUUUUAUUGGGCCUAAAGCGUCCGUAGCCGGUUUAAUAAGUCUCUGGUGAAAUCCUGCAGCUUAACUGUGGGAAUUGCUGGAGAUACUAUUAGACUUGAGACCGGGAGAGGUUAGCGGUACUCCCAGGGUAGAGGUGAAAUUCUGUAAUCCUGGGAGGACCACCUGUGGCGAAGGCGGCUAACUGGAACGAACCUGACGGUGAGGGACGAAAGCUAGGGGCGCGAACCGGAUUAGAUACCCGGGUAGUCCUAGCCGUAAACGAUGCGGACUUGGUGUUGGGAUGGCUUUGAGCCGCUCCGGUGCCGAAGGGAAGCUGUUAAGUCCGCCGCCUGGGAAGUACGGUCGCAAGACUGAAACUUAAAGGAAUG
rnacentral:rRNA from 1 species